AGGCAAUGGCGCAAUAGAGUGAUUAUUGGAAGAAUCGAACCGCUCAUGCAUGAGAACCGGAAGCGCCGAUUACUAAGGGGAAAAGUGGACGAUUUUAAGUGGACAUUUCAGUGCAAACUCCAUUUCAAACUUAUUUGGAAGAUUGUUGUGUAGAAAUGGAGGGAGGGGGAGAGGAUAGGCGGGCACAAUGUGUAGCUACAGCGCAUACUGCUAUGGAAUGUUGAAUGACUCGUGUAGUCCUGGACUCUUGUCAGGAGACGGAAUGGAAGUGGCAGAUACCUGAGCUGAUUCCAGACCAACUGGACAGGACAUAUUACAAGUUUACACACACAAGCUUACAACAUGUCUCUGCAUCAUAUUACAUACACAUGUCACAGAUGAUAAUCUCCCUCUCCUUCACUCCUAGUGAGGGUGGCAGCUCAGUGUCUUCCCCAGCCCAGUCUAGUGACCAUCGUCCUCUGCACUCAGCCAGCCUAAACAGACAGGUGGCGAAUCGCAUCUCUGCAUGUCUGGCAGACAUAUCAGUG